rnacentral:tRNA from 1 species
GGAGCCGUAGCGCGGAGGCCGUCGCGCCGGUCUCCACGACCGCGAGGACGCCGGUUCGCAUCCGGUCGGCUCCG